rnacentral:rRNA from 1 species
UUAAUAGUGAAAAGUACAUAUCUUAUACAAUAAUACAUCUAAAUCACCAAAAGUUAAAUAAGAAACAAGGAUUAGAUACCCUUCUAUCCUAAACUUAAAUUAACCAAGAAGUAAAAUCAAACAAAAACUUAACUAGAAUGGCAGUAAGAAACCCAUCAGAGAAGGCUGUACUAUAACCGAUAACCCUCGUUAAUCACCCCCUAACCUAACAUUUUAUAUAUCGCCAUUGAAAUCUUACUUAAGAUAAGAUUGAAUUAAGAUUCACACUCAGUCAACAGGUCAAGAUAUAAAUCAUGGUUAGGUGAGAUAUUGCCUGCAAAUAUCAACAAUUAAUUAAACUAUCAUUAUUCAGCAGUUUAAAUUAGGAUCUGACUGUAAUUACGCCUACCUAAUAGCAUCUUGACCCACUAAAUUCCUUAUG